rnacentral:rRNA from 1 species
GCUAUAUCUGCAGUCGAGCGAACAGAAAGGAGCUUGCUCCUUUGACGUUAGCGGCGGACGGGUGAGUAACACGUGGGCAACCUACCCUAUAGUUUGGGAUAACUCCGGGAAACCGGGGCUAAUACCGAAUAAUCUCUUUUGCUUCAUGGUGAAAGACUG